rnacentral:rRNA from 1 species
UACGUAGGGACCAAGCGUUGUUCGGAUUUACUGGGCGUAAAGGGCGCGUAGGCGGCGUGUUAAGUCACUUGUGAAAUCUCUGAGCUUAACUCAGAACGGUCAAGUGAUACUGAUGUGCUAGAGUGCAGAAGGGGCAACCGGAAUUCUUGGUGUAGCGGUGAAAUGCGUAGAUAUCAAGAGGAACACCGGUGGCGAAGGCGGCAUCCUGGACCGGUAUUGACGCUGAGGCGCGAAAGCCAGGGGAGCAAACGGG